rnacentral:rRNA from 1 species
UACGAAGGGGGCGAGCGUUGUUCGGAUUUACUGGGCGUAAAGGGCGCGCAGGCGGCUAUCCAAGUCAGGCGUGAAAGCCCCGGGCUUAACCUGGGAGGUGCGUCUGGGACUGGGUGGCUAGAGUUCGGGAGAGGAGAGUGGAAUUCCCAGUGUAGAGGUGAAAUUCGUAGAUAUCAGGAGGAACACCGGUGGCGGAAGGCGGGGUCUCUGGGCAACAACUGACGCUGGAGGAGCGAAAGCCGUGGGGAGCGAACAGG